AACCCAACAGAAAACAUUUCAAUCUACAUUUGAUCUAAUAUGCACACAAGCCUAAAACUUACGUGUAAUGGGAAAUGCCAUAGAGGGACUAACAAAAUAGCCUCUGUGUUGCAGUGCUAUAAGUUUUCUCCAGGUGGGCACUCCGGAUUCCUCCCACAUCCCAAAAAACACGCACUUAUUGGAGAUUCUAAAUUGUCCCAAGGUGCGAUUGCGAGUGCGGCUGUUUUUCUCGAUGUGCCCUGCGAUUGGCCGGCGACCCGUUCAGGGUGUACCCGGCCUCCUGCCCCGUUGACAGCCGGGAUAGGCUCCAGCACUCCCCGCGACCCUUGUGAGGAUAAGCGGGUGGCAUAAUAGACGGAUAGGAUGACUUGACGGGUGUUUUUGAAUCCAUCCGUCUUGGAUUGACACUUUUAAGAUUGCAGCCCACCCCGUGCGACAAGCAGCUCUGAAAGGUUGAGCGAGAAGCACCACGACAGCACCGGCGAGAUGACGUCUGCACCAGCGACCGCCGCAGUGGACUGAAGACGCGUCAUCGCUGAGCGUCGGGACAAUCUGUACAAAACGUUACGUUCUGACGGGCUCAUGUGACACCAGCGAGUCAGCGACUGGAGAAGUUUUUGGGUGCAGGGUGCGUCGCUUCUUACCGAUGGACAUUGGCAGGGGCCUGGUGAGACUCAACAAGCGGAGCCAAACAUCAGACUCGUGCCUCCUUCCGCCGCCAUCUUGUUUGAUUUCUGUUCUAAGAUCUCCGUCGCCCCCUGCUGGCUUGCCCGUCAAGCGCAAUCAAGCGCCCUUGUCGGAUGCUAACGCUAAUGCGCCGCCGGCAGUCAUAAAUCAUGAUGUAAAUUAGCUAAGUGUAGAAAGGCUCACUCACAAACAUAUUUUCAGAUAUAGGCAGAUAACAAAAGACAAUUUGGUUGUUUAAUUUCACAAUUUGAUGUGUGGAUAUCGCGAAAGACAUUUGGAUGCUGUUUCUGCCUUUUGUAUACAAUCCACAUUAAACAAGUCAAUAAGGUUCCAAUUAGUGACACACAAGAUGGCGGACAAAGGCAUCCUGGGACUGUGGUGACGUCCACGGAAAUCUAUUUAUUGUAUUGAAUAUUGAGCCACAGAACGAUUUUUUUUUUAUUAUGCGUUUGUUGUUGUUUUUAUUUAGGCAUUUUGAUAUCCAGGAUUAUUUUGAUGACAGCAAUGGAUUCAUUUAUGACCUCAAGGGCAUUUGUGGCUCAUAAUUUUUUUUUAAUCAGUCAUAAAUAAAUCAUAAAAUUGCCGGCAUAGCGCUACUUUCUACAUUGGUUGGUGAGGCCGGAAAAAUGCAAAAAAUAAAAUAAAAAAUUAU